rnacentral:rRNA from 1 species
CCGUUGCCGGCGACCGGCGCACGGGUGAGUAACACGUAUGCAACCUGCCCGUGGCAGGGGGAUAAGCGGGGGAACCCCGUCUAAUACCGCGUAACGCGGCCUAGGGACAUCCCAAGGCCGCCAAAGGGAGCAAUCCCGGCUACGGAUGGGCAUGCGGCGCAUUAGCUAGUCGGCGGGGUAACGGCCCACCGAGGCGACGAUGCGUAGGGGUUCUGAGAGGAAGGUCCCCCACACUGGUACUGAGACACGGACCAGACUCCUACGGGAGGCAGCAG